UACAUAUUCCCUCCGUUUCAAAUUAGUUGACUUGAAUUUGUCUAAAUACAAUGUAUCUAUAGUUGUUUAGUAUUUAGAUACAUUUAUGUUUAGAUAAAUAUGAGUCAAGUAAUUUGGAACGGAGGAAGUAUGUG
rfam:Triticum aestivum genome assembly, contig: Triticum_aestivum_CS42_TGACv1_scaffold_061124_1DL